rnacentral:rRNA from 1 species
AGAGUUUGAUCCUGGCUCAGAUUGAACGCUGGCGGCAUGCCUUACACAUGCAAGUCGAACGGCAGCACGAGAGCUUGCUCUUGGUGGCGAGUGGCGAACGGGUGAGUAAUAUAUCGGAACGUACCCUAGAGUGGGGGAUAACGUAGCGAAAGUUACGCUAAUACCGCAUACGAUCUACGGAUGAAAGUGGGGGAUCGCAAGACCUCAUGCUCAUGGAGCGGCCGAUAUCUGAUUAGCUAGUUGGUGGGGUAAAAGCUCACCAAGGCGACGAUCAGUAGCUGGUCUGAGAGGACGACCAGCCACACUGGAACUGAGACACGGUCCAGACUCCUACGGGAGGCAGCAGUGGGGAAUUUUGGACAAUGGGCGCAAGCCUGAUCCAGCAAUGCCGCGUGAGUGAAGAAGGCCUUCGGGUUGUAAAGCUCUUUUGUCAGGGAAGAAACGGUGGACUCUAAUACAGAUCACUAAUGACGGUACCUGAAGAAUAAGCACCGGCUAACUACGUGCCAGCAGCCGCGGUAAUACGUAGGGUGCAAGCGUUAAUCGGAAUUACUGGACGUAAAGCGUGCGCAGGCGGUUGUGCAAGACAGAUGUGAAAUCCCCGGGCUCAACCUGGGAAUUGCAUUUGUGACUGCACGGCUAGAGUGUGUCAGAGGGGGGUAGAAUUCCACGUGUAGCAGUGAAAUGCGUAGAGAUGUGGAGGAAUACCGAUGGCGAAGGCAGCCCCCUGGGAUAACACUGACGCUCAUGCACGAAAGCGUGGGGAGCAAACAGGAUUAGAUACCCUGGUAGUCCACGCCCUAAACGCUGUCUACUAGUUGUCGGGUCUUAAUUGACUUGGUAACGCAGCUAACGCGUGAAGUAGACCGCCUGGGGAGUACGGUCGCAAGAUUAAAACUCAAAGGAAUUGACGGGGACCCGCACAAGCGGUGGAUGAUGUGGAUUAAUUCGAUGCAACGCGAAAAACCUUACCUACCCUUGACAUGUCUGGAAUCCUUGAGAGAUCAGGGAGUGCUCGAAAGAGAAUCAGAACACAGGUGCUGCAUGGCUGUCGUCAGCUCGUGUCGUGAGAUGUUGGGUUAAGUCCCGCAACGAGCGCAACCCUUGUCAUUAGUUGCUACGAAAGGGCACUCUAAUGAGACUGCCGGUGACAAACCGGAGGAAGGUGGGGAUGACGUCAAGUCCUCAUGGCCCUUAUGGGUAGGGCUUCACACGUCAUACAAUGGUACAUACAGAGGGCCGCCAACCCGCGAGGGGGAGCUAAUCCCAGAAAGUGUAUCGUAGUCCGGAUUGUAGUCUGCAACUCGACUACAUGAAGUUGGAAUCGCUAGUAAUCGCGGAUCAGCAUGUCGCGGUGAAUACGUUCCCGGGUCUUGUACACACCGCCCGUCACACCAUGGGAGCGGGUUUCACCAGAAGUGGGUAGCCUAACCGCAAGGAGGGCGCUCACCACGGUGGGAUUCGUGACUGGGGUGAAGUCGUAACAAGGUA